CUGAGGUUUAGCUGCCUUUGCUCAAGGCCAUACCUGAUCUGGUGCAACUGUGUGAACCAUGGUCAGAGUACUGCAAAAAGAGCUCAGAGAGAAAGGACCAUGAGAAACCUGUUUGGCAACUUGCUACUCUGCACGAGAGGAUGCUUAUCUUUGUCUUUGCCAGAGCUAUGUGGCAGCUCUACCUGUGGUCAGCCAUGUCUUACCGGUCCUGACUUGUGGACCUGACUUUCCAGCUUGACCUUGGACAUGCCCUGGGCUAUGCGUGCCUGGAUGUACUACAGUCCAAAGAAGGGAUGUCUUGAAGCUUUUUCUAUUGGCAAUGCCAACAAGCACUGCCCUGAAGACAUAGAAGCAGCUGUCAGCAUCUGUAAGCUUCCUGUAGAAAGUGGCAGAGAAUCUUCUUAGUAUGCUGAUUAACUUGCUACAAAGGCAUAGUGUUUUAAUGGCAUAAUUUAAAGGGCUCCAUGUGAAUGCAAAGCACCUGGAAUUUGUAACUCACUUGAUAAAUGAUCAUAAGCACAAGAAAUUAUGGGUGAUUAUAUGCUUCAAGAUGUUCUUUAACUCAGAAAUUACAGUACAGUGAUUAUUUAAAUAGAAAGUAUGGGUAAAUUCUAUUUUUUGUUCGCCUUUAAUUGUCAAAUAGUUAUACAGGUUUUGACAGUAAUCUCUGCAGGUGACAGUUGCCAGAAUGUCAACAUACACAAGAAUUUACAGCUGAUAUAUUUGUACUGUAGUAUCACGUGUAUAAUGAGUUUAAAGUACUUUGGAUGUAUUAACCAGCACCCUUCUGACCACACGAACCAUUAUCCUUCUAGGCAUCGAGCACCACCUGAAGUUCCAAACCUUUCUAGCUUGCUUUAUUUUUUCCCUCAGGCUUUUCUAGAAGAAGAUGAUGCUUCAGACAAAGCAGUCCUUGUGUUUUCUUAUACCUUUGUGAGCAGCCAGCUGUAUGUAGCCAGAACUCUCUUUUCUCUCCUUCUUGAGGGAUGCA